CCCUGUAUAUAAAGGACCCUGGGGACGACUGGUCCUCUGCCAGCUCGUCGCAUCUCAUGCCCUAUUCCAGCACUCCCGUGUCUCUGAUCGUGAACCCGUGUGUACCGACCUCCGCCUGUUCUCCGACCGACCCCGUAAGCCUGACUCCUUUGACACUUCUGCCUUCUUUGAUCGAUCUCCUGUGUACCGACCCUCGCCUGUUAACCAUGCUAACUAAACUUCGCAUGUGGUGGCAUCCUAAAAUGUCUGACUUGUGUCACGCCCACUGUCCUGACUGUAAUAUAGGGUUAGGCGACACAAUGUUUUCCCCACACGUAGACUGUUGUCAGGUUCAUUUGACCCACCCACCUGGCCCGAUGCGGAACUGGUCAUAGAUUUCACAGACGUGAUCACUCCUGUUCAAGGUAAGCACUAGCUUCUUGUUUUUGUUGACACCUUUUCCGGAUGGCCUUAAGCCUACCCCUGCGCUCGUGAAGACGCCAUGUCGGUAAUGAAAGCUUUUGUGAACCACUGGAUUCUAACAUACGGUUUCCCCGCUCUCAUCCAGUCGGACAACGGUAAACAUUUCACAUGCACACAACUAGCUACUGUAGAGAAGUGGUUAGGGUUAACUCAUAAGUUUCAUUCUGUUUAUCACACCGGCAGUCAAGGUUCAGUUGAACGUAUGAAUCGCACAUUGAGGGAAAAACUGGCUAAAAUAUGUACCUCUUCUGGCAUAAACUGGGUUCAGGCUCUUCCCCUUGCUCUAAUGUCUGUGAGACAAACUGUCUCGCUCUACUGGUUUCUCUCCUUACGAACUUCUUACAGAUCAUCUGAUACCUGGCCCUUCCUCCUCACUUCAACCGGUGGAGGAUGGUGUUGUGUUUCCCAAGUUUUCGCAAACUGUUUUGGACACAACUGCAUUCUUUUGCUUCUAAUUUCUCCUUACAGAUCCAGAACUCUCUUCCACCACCACUUCCUACACUUGAUCUUCCUGAAUGGUCAUCUGUCUACCUUAAACGACUCUCCCGUAAGUGUUCAGAACCAAGUUGGUCUGGCCCCCACUAGGUGACUGCUCGUACCUCCAAAGCCAUCCGCUUGGAGCGAAAAGGAACUAAGUGGUUUCAUUAUUCUAUGCUUCGCCCUGCUCCAGACUCUUAAUUGCGCUUUUCUUUUAUUGUUUGUUGUUGUUUUAUUGUUAACCAUGAUUCCUACAGAUGGUCCGAUUGCUUUUUGGACCAAGAGAGGGAGAGCAGGAAUCUAUGGCAUUCUUAUUAUUGGAGUUCUUGUUGUUCUUGGUAUUUUGAUCUGGGAAAUCGUUCAAAAAUACCCCAUGCCUACACCCACAUCACUGCCAGUUGUUAGCACAACCCACCCAGAAAAUAUUUAUCACAGAGAAGAGUUGUCUUAUAAACAAAGCCCUAUCUGUUGAUGAGUGGUUUAGGGUUUUGACGGGCAUGAGCACAGUAAAGAAUAAUUGGUUACUAAUGGCAGAACAAGCGGCGAAUAAAACCCCAAGUGACUGUGUUGUAGGUAUGGGACCUAGACCUUUGUUCCGUGUUGUCUUCUCUUCUGUCAACUCCACCUGUGUUCCAGAUCUUGUGAAAAAUUAUGUGCCAACUAAAAAUGAAUGCAAAAUUUGGGAUACUGCCCACCCGGUAACACCAGCCCAAAAGAACAAACCUGUGUUUAAUCGUGCUGUAGCGCGCCAAAACUUCACCUGUAUUUUCCUGAAAGGUAAUGGUGCCCCAAUUGACAAUAUCUCUGAUGGUCAGUGUGCGGAGACCCAGGAAGCACCUUUCUUCCAACCUCUCAGCCGUGCUGACGUGUGGUGCUGGUGCGGAGGGAACCGUCUUUUCGACCGACUCCCUCGCAGCAGUACGGGCACAUGUGCAUUAGUAACUUUACUUUUGCCAAUUUCCGUUGUUCUUGUCACACUAGAUGAUCUGGCGGUUGCUCGUGAACACUUAAAGGAAGAUCUUGGCCUAUUACACCGUUCACGUAGGUCCAAACGUACCUGGCUCGGUGCUGACGACCCCACCUAAAUUGACACUAUUGGCGUCCCCCCGUGGUGCCCCAGAUGAGUAUAAACUGGCUGAUCAGGUAGUUGCCGGUUUUGAAAAUCCACCUGUAAUUUCUCCUCUUUUCCCCGUUGCUCCUAACGAAAAUGUCGACCGUAUCAAUUAUAUACAUUAUAAUGUGCAACGUUUGGGCAAUUUCCCCCUUGAAGGACUUGAAGCUGUACAUGAGGCUACAUCUAUUAUGACUUUCCAAAAUAGGAUCGCAUUAGAUGCACUGUUGGCCGAGAAAGGAGGUGUUUGCCGAAUAACACCCAACCUGGCGGACGCCUCACUAAGACCGUAGAUGGACUUAGAACCCUUACUACGAAAAUGGCCACUUUUACCAUGGACCCAUACAGAUAAAAACCAUGUGUUCCGGGGCAGCUUUUGUCUUCUUCUUUGGCUAUCCUGCCAGAAGACACGUCUCUAGAUACCUAGAUAAGACCCGAACAUCUGUACUGCACAUUCCUUUCUAAUAAAUCCAUUUGCUAUUAACUUUUUCUCAUCAUUGGUCAUAUCUUCCUCGACUUGUGAAGACGCAUAAGGUCCAAACUCGCAAAUCCCUACAAUAUAUAUUUUCCAAAUUAGGCUGGCCAGCAAAAUUGUAUUUUUUCAAUCAGUUCAUCUAAAAAUGUUCUUCUUCUUAUCUGUGCUUUGUGCCUCGACAAGUUUCCAAUCCUUCCAAGUUAAAUUGUUUCUUCCCAUUUGUUUUCCCAAUACAUUUCCCCAUUUGGCGAAUUUGGAGCCAACACACAACACCUAGGGUGUACUAAGGUCGGCUUUUUGCAUUAGACAGGGUGACUGUUCAAUAUCCUUGUUUGGUAUUUGUUAGGUCUAAACCCAACCACUGGAUGAGUUAUGCAAAUGAAGGGUCGAGAGAGGUCUUAAAUUUGGCUCCAGAGGAGAAACGGAUUUGACUGACCAGCUGCAACGCCAACACCCGUUCGGAGUCAGUGUCACCAGUGUCCCCCUUUUUAUUAGUUUCUCAAAACAAAAGGGUCACAAGAUUAUAAAGCAAAUGAAAGAACAGAUGACAUUACCAACACAAAGACAAAUACUAAGAUAAACAUAACAAUGGUGAAUGCCAAUAGAGGUGAAUACUAAAGAGACAUUUAUAACAAUGGUGUGAGGAGUGUCUGCUCAGCAAGGGGGUGCAUCACUCAAGGCGUCGCUGGGUUAUACUUCGGGUCACACAGCCGCACGGAAGGAGAAUGAUUCAGGCAAGGAUGAUAUAAAUGUAUUUGCACAAAUUAUGACCUCUAUUAUCAGUCAUCAUUCUCUACCAUAUAGGACUGAGAGGAGUGUUAAUUAGUGAUGCUUCCCAUAACCGUUGAAUACCCGAAUGUAUUGUGCAACCAUGGUUAUAUAAGUUGUUUUUCACUCACUUGUUUUUCACUAUCUUGUUCCCAUGCAUACACUCACUUGUUUUUCGCAUCACUUGUUUUUCUGGUCAAGACGUCUGGACCGUUUCACUAUCUUGUUCGCAUGCAUACCAAAGACGAACAUUGUUGUGGGAUGUCUUGACAGUUAUGGCCGCGUAAGAUGUUUUUCAGAGCCUGAAGGACACACUUAGGUGUCAUUAGGAAAUCAGGAAACAAUCGUUGCGGCGCCAGGUGGAACGGGUAGGCCACCCGCCCUUUCUCUCGCACGCAACUGAAAAGUAUAACAGAGAGAUGCAGAGUACAAACAGGUAGAGUCUGCUGCGGGUUUCGUACGGACGCCCAGCUGGUUGACAAGCGGACCUCUACCUGGGUGAACGGCUCUACACCUUCUCGGCAUAGGUAAGGGGCUCAUAUGAUUGAUUUCACGCAAUGUCAACUGUGUUUUGAGAACUUGCAUUUGCUCGAAAUAAAUAUGCCAUUUAUUGAGGCUAAAUAGCAUUUGGGAAUGUUGGUCUUUUGUUGAGUGUCAUCUUUGUCUCCUGAGCGCCGACCAGCACCGAUCCUUUCAAUAAAACAUUUUUGCCAUUGUCGGCAGGAUCGUGCAGGCUACGCGCAGGAGAUAAAAAUGGGAUGCAUUGGUUUAGAAAGAGAAAUAAGGGUGCGGAUGAGGCACCAGAUAAGGAGGUGGUGCCCGGGUUGGAAGGCAUCACUUUCCGAGAGAUAGAAGCUGUCUUACGGGAGCGUGGCGGACGCCCCGUACCGUGGACAGGAGUGAAUCCCGCUGCCACGCCGCUGGCAUUAUGUGAUAUGUUGAGGCGGGUGGAUGUGAAUGCUCGUGCUCCGCUGGGAGGCACACAGCAGAUGUUCUGGAUGUGUGCGGAAGCUUGGAAAAAUUGCGUGUUGGAGUUGGAUAAGGUUAGAAGCGCAGAAAAUCAAAAGGCGCAAGAGGUUAUCCAGCUCGAGGUUAUAGUGAAAGAAUUAAAGGAGCAUUUGGCAAAAAUGCAGAGUAUAACGGAAAGAGCUGUAAUGCAUAUCUCCCGAGUGGCGCGAAGAGGGGGAAAGAGGAAACCUCGUAAAAUAGAACAAGCGCACAUCCGUUCAUUCACCACUGGGCUGUCAGCGCAGUGGAAUCCGGAGGAGUGGAACGGGGAUAUGUGGGGGGAUGAUGAUGAUGAUGAAUAUGAUGGAGGUAUAAGACCCGCCACCACAGACUGGGUUGUAUCCUUCGUUAAAGGGGUUGCAGAGACAUCCUAUCACGCGACGAAAAGAGCAGCGACGCAUGAUACCCGAUCGAAUCCAGGAUCUGAUGGAUGCGGACGGUCAACGAAUUCUGGACGAAAAUGGCGAGGGAGUGCAAGGCCCCACAAGCGCAGCCAGAGCCAGAAUUGUUCAUGACUAGAGAAGAUUAUACACAGGUCGGCAUGGUUGUUUUGAGAGUAUCAAGAUGGCGGAUGGCGACUACAGUUUUAUUGGCCAAUGAGCCAUCCAGUCUUUUUUUUUUGUUUGUUUUUUUUUUUUUUUAGAUCAGUGCAUUAAACAGUGAGGAUAACGCAGUAUAGGAAAUGAAUGAAUGCUCACUUUUGCACAUAAUACUGCUUACAACCAUACUCUUAUCGUGCGUGUAUGUGUUUAUACACAUGUGUGCGCGCGCGGGUGUUGCCUUUCUAUCGUGCGUGUAUGUGUUUGUACGCAUGUGUGCGCGUGCGGGUGUUGCCUUUCUACAAGUGUUUCAAUAGACUUAAUGUGACAAAGAUCUUUGUUUACCGAAAAAGCUAUCCAAAUACUAUAUUGUAUGCUUGUCAUAUCUUCUGAGUAAUGUGCACUAUGUUUGCAUGUACAGUUUUACAAAGGAUGCACCGGUUCCUUUUUGUUAACUACAACUGUGUCUUUUGAAGUAUAUGAUAUGGAAAUUUAUUGAGAUAAAUCAGUUCAAACAAUAACAGCGUUAGUAGAUACCGGCCAGGGCGGAGGCCUCAAUAAUUUAUGGAAAUCCAGAGAAAAUGAAAGGACCCCUAGUACCAUUAACAGGACUAGGAGGAAAAGUGAUUUAUGGAAAACAUGUAAACUUACCUUUGAAAAUAGGAAAUAUGCCUAUAAAAACAUAUAUGGUGAUUAUAACCCCUAUCCCAGAGUGGAUAGUGGGCAUGGACAUAUUAGCCGGAAUGAGGAGAUUUGAAUUCGGAGUAAAUCCACUGAAAAUACAUGCAAUAUUGGUGGGUAAAGUAAAAAUGCCACCUUUUCCGAUACCACAAGCUACACAGGUAGUUAGUCAAAAGCAAUACCGGAUACCUGGAGGACAGGAAGAAAUUUCGGCGACCAUUAAAGAAUAUUUAGAAGCUGGUGUAUUGAAAACAGUGACGACAAACUGGAACAAUCCGUUGUGGCCAGUCAGGAAAUCAGAUAACUCUGGGAGGAUGACAGUAGACUACAGAGGAUUGAAUAAACACACACCUGCAUUGACUUCCGCGGUGCCCGACGCAGUGACAAUUAUAGAAUGAGUGCAACAUCAUCCCGGAACGUGGUAUGGGGUCAUAGAUUUGGCUAACGCAUUUUUCACUAUUCCUAUUCCUGAGGAUAGGAUGAAUCAAUUUGCGUUUACCUGGGAAGGGCGCCACUACACGUUUACCAGACUACCACAGGGUUAUUUACAUAGUCCCACAAUCUGCCACCGGGUGGUAGCAGAGCACCUGGAAAAGCUAAAAGUUCCUAAGGAAACAAUGUGACUUUAGUUGGAGGGAAGAACAACAGUGAUCAUUUGAUAUGGCGAAGGAAGCGAUACAGCAAGCAGUGUCACUGGGAAAAAUGAAAUCGGGACUGGUAGAAUUGCAGGUGUCGGCGUUAAAUGAAUACGCUAACUGGAGUUUGUGGCAAAAGCAAGAUACGAUUCGUAAACCCUUGGGAUUCUGGUCGAGAAAGCUCCCAGAAGCAGGCCUUAAGGUACACACCUUUUGAAAAGCAGCUAUUAGCAUGCUAUUGGGCAUUGGUUGAAACUGAGGCUCAAACGGUGGGCCAUGAGGUGUUAAUGAGAACACAUAUACCGAUUUUGACAUGGGUUAAAGGUAACCCGACGACACAUAGAAUAGGAACCGCACAGGAAGCUAGUAUUAUCAAAUGGAAAUGGUAUGUGUCUGAGCAAAUUAAAAUAGGGGAAAAAGGAGUCUAAAGAGUGGGCAAAGACUCACCAUGUAGAAUUGAUCUAUCACAUUCCCUAUUAUCCGCAGGCUGCUGGGUUAAUAGAGCGAAUGAAUGGAAUUCUUAAGGAAACAUUGAAAAAGCUAUCUCGAAACAGAACGCUGGACAAAUGGUGCAAAGACUUACCCGAGGCGGUGAAUCAGAUUAAUAAUAGACCGCUUGGGGCGGGAAUAACGCCCCUAAUACGAAUGAUAAUGAGGGAACCGGUACAAAAAUUCCAAUGGGGAAAUUAAAAUGUGGAAAAUUGACCCUCAAGCUGAAAUUCCCAUACGAGCUGCUCCAGGCUCAGCGGGAUUGGAUUUGAAAAUCCUGACAAACAUCACUCUGGUUCCCAACGAAAUCCAAAUAGUGAAAACAGGAUUGGGGCUCCAGUGUCCAUCAGGGACAUAUGGACAUAUUCUAUCACGAAGUGGGUUAUCACUAAAAGGGUUAACAAUUCAAGCUGGAGUGAUUGAUGCGGACUAUCAAGGAGAAAUUGGAGUGGUAUGCAAAUUAUUAGCAGAACAGCCCCUUACAUUGGAAAGAGGGGACAAAAUUGCUCAAUUGGUAGUGAAGCCUUGCCUUGUAACCAAGGUAAAAGAAAUACCUAAACCUGUGGUGAUAACCACCAGAGGGGAGGGAGGAUUUGGCUCCACUGAUUUGGGAGGGGCAAAAGUUUGGGUAAAACAGCCAGACGGUCCUCCCUGAGCAUCAGAAAUUAUAGCUCAAGGGCAAGAUGCUACUGUGAGCGUCUUAUAUCCUGGAGAGGAAAAAUGGGUAAAUGUACCGGUGUCAAAAUGUUAUACAAGAGAGAACUAAUCACAUGUUUGUAGUAUGCACUAUUUGUCGUAAUACAGAUGCCGUGGUGGUAUUUGCUGAUUGGAAGACCAUAAUCGGAGCGGCGCCAUGGCCGGACCAGGGAAGACCGAGGGCCGAAGAGGUGGCAGUGUUGUCUGCUGGGUCACAUGUAUCCUUGUCCUUGGUGCCAUGGUCCAACUCUGCUGCGCAAUGACGGAGGGUGACAAAUUGGAGCAGGUCCAGCGGCUCCACAUAAGAUGGAAAAGCAGUACCCAGGACCGUACUCAAGGAGACUACACCUGUCCAGCUUACCAAGCUUGCGACGUGGUAAACGUCACCAGCAAUUGUCAGAUGUGGAAGUGCAAAAGGUGCCUUGGAGGAAAUGACAUCCCGGUGGUGGAACAAGGAUGCAACUUAACCGUCACUUCAGUAGUCCCCAUGUGCCACUACAACAGGACAACCGAGACCUGCAAUGAGCACAACUGGACGAGGUGGACAAUUACCGUAAAAGAAACUGGUUUUUUUUAACAGCUCUGAAAUCUCGGGACGGAACACAUUUUUGUAUAUAAUAUGGGUGUUACCUUGUAAACCUAAUGCUACAACGACACACAUAGCACCAGUAUUAGAUACCUGUACACACAUGGCACAAGCCAGGGUUAAAACCCGAGUGUACUGGGAAAUAAAAUUCCCCGAUAUACCACACUGUACACGAAGACGUAGAGCUUGGUAUGAUACUCUCUUAGGAGGAAUGGGAACACUGUAUGGUGUAGCUCAUGCUGCAGAUAAUGAAGUAACCAGAACAAUGUUAUCUAACACAGGGCAACAUGCAUCAGAGGCUAUACAUCAGGUCGGGGUAUGGCUUCCAAAAGCUUUGAUAGGGCAAUUGGAAAACAAAGGUGUUUGGAAAAAGGCAUUUACAUGGGAGUUAAAAUUAUGGAAUGAAACGUAUGAUGCGUUAAAGAAUCUAUCACAUAUAAGUAAUUGGACAACCUGUGCAUUGCAAAUGAUACAUGCGGAAGCUCAAAAAGAGCGAUUCCAGAGAAUAAUGACAACGGGAAAUUACCACGAAUGGAGACAGGUUUGGAAUAUUAGUAGCAAACUUUGGUUACAGUUACACUCGGAGCGAACAAAAUGCAACAGUACAUAUUGUGCUGGGUAUUGGACUCAGUACAAUGUGUCUACUGUUAAAACGAUAUGUAAGUAUCAAGUAUUACCGGUGAUUACUACCUCAGGAUUUUGGUUUCUACUGGAUGGAGAGUGGAUGGAUGUGGGAACAAAUACGACUUAUGAGAUGAAAAUGUGUGACGAAACAGACAGAGGAAUGGCGUGUACAUUACAACAGGGACACAGCAAUCCAUGUUUAACCGACUCAGAGGCUGUACUUUGUGAUUGGACUAGGGAGCCACGAAGGGAGAUGUUGUGGCAAAUCGGACCACAUGCUCUAUGUGUGGCAACAAUGCAAAAUAAUUCACAAGUACCAUCGGUUCCUUUCGUUGGUUGCUUAUAUAAUGUGCACCUAUGGCAUUGGGGAAACCAGACGUAUCGUUUGACGAAUUACCUCUCACUGGAGCGUUUCAAAUGCGCAUUGGAACAAUCCACUGAAGUUCAGAAAAUUAUACAUACGUCUAACAUCUCCAAGCUCAUGGUGUCCACAUUAGUAGCCAGCGGACCGGUACAACAUGCUGCUAAAAUAGUACAACAGUCCUCAGCCCAUCACUGGUGGGACAUCUUUUCAGGGAUGUCAGUCACUGCUAAGAGGACUUUGGUGCACCCUCUGAUUCUGUUGGUUAUUGUAAUAGUAUUGCUAUCACUAUGUAAUCUGCUAAUGUGUAUCAACGUAAGACGUAUCCGAGCUGAAGUGGAGUGGGUGAUUAUGCAACGCAUGAGAUGAUUGUACGCCUUGAGAAAAGUAAUGGACACUUCAGUGUCGAGAACUACACUGUUAAGUUGGUGCCUCACCUCACUCAUGUAUACAUGUAUGCGAGAUGGCAAGGAUGUUUAUCACAUCAAUAUAUUCACAGAAACCUAACGUUGCGGGAAUUAUGGUCCAUGUUCUUUCAUGACAUCAUGAAUAACACUGGAAAUGGAAUCGUGUUACCAUCGACGUUUGACGGGUAUAUCAACUAAUAUGUGACGCCUCAAGAGUGGAAUGAGAGGAGUGUUAAUUAGUGAUGCUUCCCAUAACCGUUGAAUACUCGAAUGUAUUGUGCAACCAUGGUUAUAUAAGUUGUUUUUCACUCACUUGUUUUUCACUUUCGUAUCACUCACUUGUUUUUCUGGUCAAGACGUCUGGACCGUUUCACUAUCUUGUUCGCAUGCAUACCAGAGACGAACAUUGUUGUGGGAUGUCUUGACAGUUAUGGCUGCGUAAGAUGUUUUUCAGAGCCUGAAGGACACACUUAGGUGUCAUUAGGAAAUCAGGAAACAAACGUUGCGGCGCCAGGUGGGACGGGUAGGCCACCCGGCCUUUCUCUCGCACGCAACUGAAAAGUAUAAUAGAGAGAUGCAGAGUACAAACAGGUAGAGUCUGCUGCGGGUUUCGUAUAGACGCCCAGCUGGUUGACAAACGGAGCUCUACCUGGGUGAUCGGCUCUCCACAUUCUCGGCAUAGAAAACCGGCUGGCGCCAACCUUCUAUCCCAGGCGUUGCCGUGGAGAUGAACAACAGCAGAUAAGGAGCGGAAAGUUACCAUCCCGGCCCAGGACCAGACUGCGGGGGGGCAGCCAUUUUUACCAUGGACCCAUAUAUAUAAAAACCUUGUGUUACAAGGCAGCUUUUGUCUUCUUGUUUUGCUAUCCUGCCAGAAGACGCAUGUCUCGUGUGCGGCAGAUACCUAAAUAAGACACAGACAUUCCUUUGCAAUAAAUCCAUUUACUGUUAACUUUUUCUAAUCAAUGGUCAUAUCUUCCUCGAUUCGUGAACACAUGUAGGGUCCAAACUCGCAAAUCCCUACACUCCCUUCUGACCUUAAGCAGAUACUCCCGAACACUGAGAGGCAAUUUAUUCCCCUUUUAACCUCGAGCAGAUACUCCUGAACACCAUAAACAUGUCUUAAAAGAAUGCCCUGAUAAUCCCUCGUGGGUUUAUCCCUAGUGGGUUUAUCAGGACACUGUUGCAGCCUUGAAGAAAUAUCUACCUUAGAGUCUAUGUUGGUGUUGGUGAAGCCAUCUGUUUCACCAUUUGCACUGAGUGAACUUGUAACCAUAUAUCUUUUGUCGCGAGAAAGCAAUAAAAAGAGGCACAACGGGGAGGCUGACUCAGAACAUUGAUUGGAGGUGCAGCUAGUCAGCUGAACCCGUCCUCCUUAUGAGAAAAUCAAAGAUCUCUUCUUGUCUUUAAUUAUUUGCAUAUUAGUCCAGAGGUUAAGUGAUGAACCUGACAACAAGCCACGUAUCUGGACAAAGAAAGGGGAGAGGUGGCUAUCGCUAGUCUAUUGCUUGGAGAGAUUAGUGAGUUAGGGUCUACUUGAACUACACUAGGUGUCCACUUCAGGUCACGUUAUACUCCCACGGGUGAGGACACCCGCAUUGCAUUACUUGACCCACACGUUGCCCCACGCAACAGCUCUCUGUAGCUUGCCACGUACACGUAAAAAAUUUUUUGUCAUGGGUGUGUGCCACGUACACGUAAAAAUUUUUUUUGUCAUGGCUCACCUGCGUUUAUUCUCGGUAAUUACGUUACAUAUAUCUUGCCACGCAUGCGGUCUGGUUGUACUUCAUGUCACGUUCCCACAACUACAUGUCCUUGCCUUUGAUGCUCUGUGUACUGAACCCUGCCUUGUUGAUAACCUUGCCUCUUCACCUAGUAAUUCUGACAAGGCUCCUUGUUGGGACUGCCUGCCUGUGUUUCAACUUUGGACUGAAUAAAGAUGCUUCCUGAACUGUAACCAGUCUCGUGAGUUGUGCAUUUUGGGUUCAACCUCGUGUUCUGGUCAUGACAGAGCGAUCUGGCCAACACAUAGACCCAGUCAAGUCAGAUCAGGUGCGCAGCACCCUCCAGGCUCAAGGACGGUGUCUCGUCGAACACAACAAAAAUUUCCAGAUGGUUGCUCGCCAGUGGGAGCAGCAGAACAACCAGUUGUGGGAGGUAUUUGCCUGGCUUCGUUCCGUCUGCAUCCUUCCCCAGCGGAGCCUACGCCAGCCAGGCGCCAGUCGCUGCCGCGGUAUCCUCUCGUAUCCAUGAGACAGUCACCUCAACAGUCCCGAGCGUACAUUCGGGUGUCUGCUGUCCCGUUCAGAGUGUUUAUCAGGGGACUCUGAAAAUGUCAAGUCAUUCAUUACACAGUGCGAGCUCCUCUUCGAGCAACAGGCACGCCUUUCCCUCUGACAGAGCCAUGAUCGCGUUCAUCAUUUCUCACCUUACGGGGCGUGCGGAAUCAUAGGCAAGUGGAGCCAUGACAUGGAUAUGUGUCGGACGUGGGCGUCAUUCGUGAAAUCCAUGGUGCAAAUGUUCCAGUAUGCAUCCCCUGAACGCAAAGCGGCGAACUCCUUGAUCACGCUGCGGCAAGGCAAGCGCCAGGUUUACGACUAUGCCAUUGGCUACUGCUUUCUUGCAGUUGAAUGCCAGUGGAACAACAGGGUGCUUCUAGAUGCAUUCUUUCUAUUGCUGUCCCCCGCGGUAUAGGGCCAGCUGAUCCCGCUGGACUUGCUGACUGACCUGGAUGGACUCAUCACUCUUACUUUAAAGAUAGAAAAGACUCAUGGAGUGGGAGCAGGACAACGCCUGGUGGGGGAACACGCCUGCAUGUAUCAGGGACGCUGACACUCCUCAAAGUGCGUAUACUGAGGCAGAGAAGCCCAGGCAGCUGGGCUGCCCCCGCCUGUGAUCCAAGGAAUGCCUACGCCGGCAGAGGGAGGGACUCUGCUUCUACUGUGGGCAGUUGGAGCACACAGUGACACACUGCCCGGUUAAACCAGCUGGUACCUCACCUCGAGCUCUGACUAUGGUGCGUCUCAACCUCAUUCAGGACUGUCCGGUCUAAGCACUUCCUCUUGUCACCCUGUGUUCAGGGGAGCCACUCAGGGUGACUGCAUUCAUAGACUCGGGUUUGGCUGCCAAUCUUUUAAAUUCAGAGCUGGUCAAAAGCAUGGGUCUAACGACCUUCGAAGUACAGUGCCUCUGUAAUGCAUAUGUGGCAAAUGGCAAUUUCCUCUGCAAAAUAACCACUGCACUCAGACGCUCACCCGGAGAUUUCCGGAUUUACGUUCAGAACGCAUAAAUGUCCAUGUUUUUGACACCAAGGGCUACAACAUAAUCUUGGGGGGGUCCAUGGCUGAGAUUACAUAACCCUCAUAUUGAUUGGUCGACCGGACAAAUCAGGUCCUGGGGAGCCAAGUGUGCACUUAUGUGCCUCUCGUCCCAGGGGGUGGAGAGGGAAUAGGCUGCUCAAACUCCGGGAGAUGAGCCAGACCUGUCUUCAGUCCCCUCCUGUUACCAUGACCUGAAGGAAGUAUUUUCCAAGUGUAAGGCCAAGUCGCUUCCUCCUCAUAGGCCAUACGACAGUGCCAUUGACCUGCCGCCCAGCUCCUCAACCCCUCGCGGGAGACUAUACUCUCUUUUAGGUCCUGAGUAUCAAGCCAUGAAAUUAUAUGUGGAGG